rnacentral:lncRNA from 1 species
CCUAUUUCUCUCUCUCUCUCUCUCUCUCUCUUGGUUUGCUACUUUCUUAGUUCUUUCUUAUUGUUUGCUUCUCAAUUUUAUUUUUUGGUUCUUAUUAGGUACUUUUCUCCUUGGAUUCAAAUGGCUACUGUUGAGGUAAUAGCAAUUCUUUGAUUUCCUGUUCAUCAGUCUAAUUUCCAUGGUGGUUCUUGAUUUAAUCACCAAAAAUUACUUUUUCUUUCACUUGAUUUGUUCUUUCACUAUAUAUAUAUAUAUAUAUGAUCAAAUUUGGAAAAGAACUUAUUGUCAGCCAUUUUUGUACAUGAAUUUAUUGGAUUUAGUAGAUCAACAACUAGCAAGAUUUAUAUAUCACAGUAAAAAUUUUCAGUUUUUUUAACUAAUGUCAUAUGGAUGAUUUUCUAGCGACCAAAGCUGUAACUUUUACAAAUCGAUUUUGCGAUAUUCGAUCUUGGAUCGUACACAUUUCUUUGACUCCUCUAAUUAACAAUUGAAAAAUAAGUCUUUUUUGGUUAUGAAUCUACUUAAAUUUAGCAGAUUUAAUUCAAGAUUUAUUAAUUUUUAAUCAAAAUAAAUCUUUUUUCAUACAUAUUAACUGUGAGAAACUUUUUCAGGUAGUAUCGGCACAAACUGCACUUUCAGAGGAAAAAGCAGAAGAAGUGAAGGCUUCAGAGACUGUCACUCAAGUAACAGAUCAGUCAGUUACUGAUGAAAAACCAGACACAGGAGAAAAGAAGGAAGAACAAGAAGAAGUUGCAGGAACUAAAGAAGAAGCUGUAGAACCAGAACCAGAAGUUGCAACUGAAGUAGUGGUGGAAACUAAAGAAGUAGUAGAAGAUGAGACCAAAACUGUAACAGAAGAGCCCCCAUCGGAGAAAACUGAAGAAGAAACUCCUAAGGAAACAGAACCAGAAAAAGAAGAAAAGGAAUCCCCAAAAGAAACAGUAACUGAGGAGACUGUUGCUGAGGAGACUACUAAAGAGACCACUGAGAGUACUGAGACAACAACUCCGGCGCCAGAACCGGCACCGGAAGCUGCCGUUGAAGCUCCUAAGGAAGAAGGUGAAGCGAAAGCUGAGUAAUGGGUACUUGUGCUGUGUAGAGGCUGUUUGUUUCUGGCUGUAUGCCAACUUGAAUGUUUCUUGAAUUUUCUAUCUUUCUUUAAUUAGCUUUUUUUUUUUAUUGGGUUAAAUAAGAGAUUUAAGAGAGUUAUGUUAGAUUAAUGGGUCCUACUUGGAUUGGACCAAUGGGAACUCACCACAUGGCAGACAUGCAUUGGUAGACUCAACAUGGAGAUGUUUUUGGGUUGGGUCUAUAGUGGG